rnacentral:rRNA from 1 species
CCCCACAUUGGUACUGAGACACGGACCAAACUCCUACGGGAGGCAGCAGUGAGGAAUAUUGGUCAAUGGACGGAAGUCUGAACCAGCCAUGCCGCGUGCAGGAAGACGGCUCUAUGAGUUGUAAACUGCUUUUGUACGAGGGUAAACGCAGAUACGUGUAUCUGCCUGAAAGUAUCGUACGAAUAAGGAUCGGCUAACUCCGUGCCAGCAGCCGCGGUAAUACGGAGGAUCCAAGCGUUAUCCGGAUUUAUUGGGUUUAAAGGGUGCGUAGGCGGUUUAGUAAGUCAGCGGUGAAAUUUUGGUGCUUAACACCAAACGUGCCGUUGAUACUGCUGGGCUAGAGAGUAGUUGCGGUAGGCGGAAUGUAUGGUGUAGCGGUGAAAUGCUUAGAGAUCAUACAGAACACCGAUUGCGAAGGCAGCUUACCAAACUAUAUCUGACGUUGAGGCACGAAAGCGUGGGGAGCAAACAGGAUUAGAUACCCUGGUAGUCCACGCAGUAAACGAUGAUAGCUCGUUGUCGGCGAUACACAGUCGGUGACUAAGAGAAAUCGAUAAGCUAUCCACCUGGGGAGUACGUUCGCAAGAAUGAAACUCAA